rnacentral:snoRNA from 1 species
AAUUGGAGUGAUGAAACUUUAACCUUAGGUGGAUGUAACAGACCGUUCUGGUCAUUUAACUGCAUCUGCCAGUGCUGGGGUUUGUCAUAGUUACACUGACCACAU